rfam:Gossypium arboreum cultivar AKA8401 contig_229782_1, whole genome shotgun sequence.
UCGGGGCGUGGACCGACGAGGGUCGUGGCGGCGGCCCAAGCCCGGGCUUUUGAUACGCCUGUGGAGAUGUCGUCGCCUCGAUCGUGGUAUCCAGCAUGCGCCGUCUCGGCGUGCUUCAGCACCUGCAUGCUUCGGGCGUCGGCCUGCGGGCUCCCCAUUCGCCCCGUCUUGAAACACGGACCAAGGAGCCUGACAUGUGUGCGAGUCAACGGGCUAGAAAACCCGUAAGACGUAAGGAAGCUGAUUGGCGGGAUCCCUCAUGGGUGCACCGUCGACCGACCUUGAUCUUUUGAGAAGGGUUCGAGGGAGAGCAUGCCUGUCGGGACCCGAAAGAUGGUGAACUAUG